GACGUAGGGCGCGAGCGUUGUCCGGAUUUAUUGGGCGUAAAGAGCUCGUAGGCGGCUUGUCGCGUCGACUGUGAAAUCCCGCGGCUCAACUGCGGGUCUGCGGUGGGUACGGGCAGACUAGAGUGCAGUAGGGGAGACUGGAAUUCCUGGUGUAGCGGUGAAAUGCGCAGAUAUCAGGAGGAACACCGAUGGCGAAGGCAGGUCUCUGGGCUGUAACUGACGCUGAGGAGCGAAAGCAUGGGGAGCGAACAGG
rnacentral:rRNA from 1 species